ACGGAUGGUCAUGCGUCGCAUUAGCUUGUUGGCGGGGUAACGGCCCACCAAGGCGACGAUGCGUAGGGGUUCUGAGAGGAAGGUCCCCCACACUGGUACUGAGACACGGACCAGACUCCUACGGGAGGCAGCAGUGAGGAAUAUUGGUCAAUGGCCGCAGGGCUGAACCAGCCAAGUCGCGUGAGGGAUGACGGUCCUACGGAUUGUAAACCUCUUUUGUCAGGGAGCAAAGGGCGCCACGUGUGGCGUUUUGCGAGUACCUGAAGAAAAAGCAUCGGCUAACUCCGUGCCAGCAGCCGCGGUAAUACGGAGGAUGCGAGCGUUAUCCGGAUUUAUUGGGUUUAAAGGGUGCGCAGGCGGAAUGUCAAGUCAGCGGUAAAAUUUCGGGGCUCAACCCCGUCGUGCCGUUGAAACUGGCGUUCUUGAGUGAGCGAGAAGUAUGCGGAAUGCGUGGUGUAGCGGUGAAAUGCAUAGAUAUCACGCAGAACUCCGAUUGCGAAGGCAGCAUACCGGCGCUCAACUGACGCUCAUGCACGAAAGCGUGGGUAUCGAACAGGAUUAGAUACCCUGGUAGUCCACGCAGUAAACGAUGAAUACUAACUGUCCGGGCAGAAUGAUGCCUGG
rnacentral:rRNA from 1 species